AGAGUUUGAUCCUGGCUCAGGACGAACGCUGGCGGCGUGCCUAAUACAUGCAAGUAGAACGCUGAAGGAGGAGCUUGCUUCUCUGGAUGAGUUGCGAACGGGUGAGUAACGCGUAGGUAACCUGCCUGGUAGCGGGGGAUAACUAUUGGAAACGAUAGCUAAUACCGCAUAAUAGCAGUUAUUGCAUGAUAACUGUUUGAAAGGUGCAAUUGCACCACUACCAGAUGGACCUGCGUUGUAUUAGCUAGUUGGUGGGGUAACGGCUCACCAAGGCGACGAUACAUAGCCGACCUGAGAGGGUGAUCGGCCACACUGGGACUGAGACACGGCCCAGACUCCUACGGGAGGCAGCAGUAGGGAAUCUUCGGCAAUGGACGGAAGUCUGACCGAGCAACGCCGCGUGAGUGAAGAAGGUUUUCGGAUCGUAAAGCUCUGUUGUAAGAGAAGAACGAGUGUGAGAGUGGAAAGUUCACACUGUGACGGUAUCUUACCAGAAAGGGACGGCUAACUACGUGCCAGCAGCCGCGGU
rnacentral:rRNA from 1 species